UGAACUAAUGACACCUUGUCUUUCGAUCCUCUUCUUUCUGUCCCUCUUCACUCUCUCCAAUAGCUCUUCAUCAUCGUCAGCUUCCAAAAUAGCUGCAUUGGCACUGGAAUUGCUCCUCCUAGCCAAUGAGAAGACAAAGCUGGUGAUGAAUGAAAUAGAGAGGCUUCGUUUGGUUAAAAUUGGAGAAGGUGGCGAUGGUGACUCACUAGAAGCUCUGCAAAUAGACAACUGUCUCUUGGCAUUGUUCUUUUGUGGACAAAAUAGUACAGGUGUUUUUAGUGAAGAUAGAGAAGAUGAUGAGGAGGAGAGAAAGGAGUUUGCAGUUGGGAGAAAUGCUGUUGCCAUUUCCUGAUUUUUCUUUGUUUUUCUGGUAUUUUUUGAUG
rnacentral:misc_RNA from 1 species